rnacentral:rRNA from 1 species
AGAGUUUGAUCCUGGCUCAGAAUCAACGCUGGCGGCAUGCCUGACACAUGCAAGUCGAACGAGAAAGUCCUUCGGCAUGAGUACAGUGGCGUAGAGGGUGAGUAACGCGUGGGUUAUCUACCUCUCGGGUGGGGAAUAACUCGGGGAAACUCGAGCUAAUACCGCAUAAUACGUUUACGUUAAAGCAGCAAUGCGCCUGGAGAUGAGCCUGNGUCCGAUUAGCUUGUUGGCGGGGUAAUGGCCCACCAAGGCGAUGAUCGGUAGCCGGCCUGAGAGGGCACACGGCCACACUGGCAGUGAAACACGGNCCAGACUCAUACGGGAGGCAGCAGUGGGGAAUCUUGCACAAUGGGGGAAACCCUGAUGCAGAGACGCCGCGUGAGUGAUGAAGCCCUUCGGGGUGUAAAGCUCUUUCGGCAGGAACGAUUCAUGACGG